ensembl:lncRNA
AUGUAUGGCAUGUUAUAUUUCUCCUGUUGUGUACUCUCUAUGUCUGCAUCUUUCUUGUUUUUAGUUGCAUAUUGUGUUUGGUUAUUUUACAAUGUCUUUAUUUUUUUUGCUGGAUUGCUGAGUUGUUUGUGUAACAUUUGCCAAUUGAUUUAUUUUUUCCAGAGAGAUGUCCCUGCAGGAGAUGCAUCUGUCCGCUCCCCACUCAUUUCAUCUCAUCUGAACAGAUCUCAUCUCAUCAGAACAGAACUCAUCUCAUCUUAUCCCUCCACACCCACACCCCACUACACCACCACACCCCACUACACCACCUCCACACUACACCACCUCCACACACCACCUCCACACUACACCACCUCCACACACCACCACCACACACCACUACACCACCUCCACACGCCUCCACACACCACUACACCACUACACCACCUCCACACACCACUACACCACCUCCACACACCACUACACCACCUCCACACACCACUACACCACCUCCACACACCACCACACACCUCCACACGCCUCCACACCCCACUACACCACCUCCACACCCCACUACAACACCUCCACACGCCUCCACACCCCACUACACCACCUCCACACACCACUACACCACCUCCACACCCCACUACACCACCUCCACACGCCUCCACACACCACUACACACCUCCACACCCCACUACACCCCCUCCACACCCCACUACACACCUCCACACACCACUACACCACCUCCACACCCCACUACAACACCUCCACACGCCUCCACACACCACUACACCACCUCCACACGCCUCCACACACCACUACACCACCUCCACACACCACUACACCACCUCCACACCCCACUACACCACCUCCACACCCCACUACACCACCUCCACACACCACUACACACCUCCACACACCACUACACCACCUCCACACACCACUACACACCUCCACACACCACUACACCCACCUCCACACACCACUACACCACCUCCACACCCCUCCACACGCCUCCACACACCACUACACCACCUCCACACCCCACUACAACACCUCCACACGCCUCCACACCCCACUACACCACCUCCACACACCACUACACACCUCCACACACCACUACACACCUCCACACACCACUACACCACCUCCACACCCCACUACAACACCUCCACACGCCUCCACACACCACUACACCACCUCCACACCCCACUACACCACCUCCACACACCACUACACCACCUCCACACCCCACUACACACCUCCACACACCACUACAACACCUCCACACACCACUACACACCUCCACACACCACUACACCACCUCCACACACCACUACACCACCUCCACACGCCUCCACACACCACUACACCACCUCCACAACGCCUCCACACACCACUACACCACCUCCACACCCCACUACAACACCUCCACACGCCUCCACACCCCACUACACCACCUCCACACACCACUACACACCUCCACACACCACUACACCCCACUACACACCUCCACACACCACUACACCACCUCCACACCCCACUACAACACCUCCACACGCCUCCACACACCACUACACCACCUCCACACGCCUCCACACACCACUACACCACCUCCACACACCACUACACCACCUCCACACACCUUCACACACCACUACACACCUCCACACACCACUACACCACCUCCACACACCACCACACACCUCCACACACCUCCACACCCCCCUACACCACCUCCACACCCCACCACACACCUCCACACACCACUACACCACCUCCACACCCCACCACACACCACCACAAAACAUACAUGAUGUACUUUUGAGUACAAAACCACAAAACAUACAUGAUGUACUUUUAUAUGGAUCUGGAUAG